rnacentral:rRNA from 1 species
UGGGGAAUUUUGCACAAUGGAGGAAACUCUGAUGCAGCGAUGCCGCGUGAGUGAUGAAGAUCUUCGGAUUGUAAAACUCUGUCCUUAGUGAAGAUAAUGACAGUAACUAAGAAGCAAGCCCUGGCUAAAUACGUGCCAGCAGCCGCGGUAAUACGUAUGGGGCAAGCGUUGUCCGGAAUUAUUGGGCGUAAAGGGUACGUAGGCGGUUUAAUAAGUCCUAAUUAAAAGGCUAUGGCUCAACCAUAGUAUGGUUAGGAAACUGUUGAACUUGAGUAGAUGAGGGGAAAGUGGAAUUCCAUGUGUAGCGGUGAAAUGCGUAGAUAUAUGGAGGAACACCAAUGGCGAAGGCAACUUUCUGGAAUCAAACUGACGCUGAGGUACGAAGGCGUGGGGAGCAAACAGG